rnacentral:rRNA from 1 species
AGCGUAGACGGAAUGGCAAGUCUGAUGUGAAAGGCCGGGGCUCAACCCCGGGACUGCAUUGGAAACUGCCAAUCUAGAGUACCGGAGGGGUAAGUGGAAUUCCUAGUGUAGCGGUGAAAUGCGUAGAUAUUAGGAGGAACACCAGUGGCGAAGGCGGCUUACUGGACGGUAACUGACGUUGAGGCUCGAAAGCGUGGGGAGCAAACA